UACGUAGGGUGCGAGCGUUGUCCGGAAUUAUUGGGCGUAAAGAGCUCGUAGGCGGUUUGUCGCGUCGGCCGUGAAAACUUGGGGCUUAACUCCAAGCUUGCGGUCGAUACGGGCAGACUUGAGUUCGGCAGGGGAGACUGGAAUUCCUGGUGUAGCGGUGAAAUGCGUAGAUAUCUGGAGGAACACCGGUGGCGAAGGCGGCAUCCUGGACCGGUAUUGACGCUGAGGCGCGAAAGCCAGGGGAGCAAACGGG
rnacentral:rRNA from 1 species